UACGGGGGGGGCAAGCGUUGUUCGGAAUUACUGGGCGUAAAGGGCUCGUAGGUGGCCAACUAAGUCGGACGUGAAAUCCCUCGGCUCAACCGAGGAACUGCGUCUGAUACUGGAAGGCUUGAAUCCGGGAGAGGGAUGUGGAAUUCCAGGUGUAGCGGUGAAAUGCGUAGAUAUCUGGAGGAACACCGGUGGCGAAGGCGGCAUCCUGGACCGGUAUUGACGCUGAGGCGCGAAAGCGAGGGGAGCAAACGGG
rnacentral:rRNA from 1 species